AACAGAGAAAAUGUCAUUUUCCACUUCAUCUUGUGUUUGUGUCAAAAAGUCACUGAGAGUUUGCAAUGAUGUUGGACGACUGUAUCUACACGCUGGGUCACUGAACGACGCUGUAUCAACUGCAGAGAUCCUCUAGUGACGGAUGAAACGAAAUCACGACGUGAAACAGGCAAUGGUGGAACGUACAGACACGAAGCCAUGCAAAGGUCGAAUGGUGCGACGAUUUGGAGGAGUCGCUCACCGACCAUCCCGAGGUGUCAUCUCCGUAUUCGCACAGCGGAAGUGGGGAAAACCACGGAAAAAUUCGUCAGGGUGCUUGAUGUCCGGGCUGACAGUUUGGAUCAGCGCAAAUUUGGACGAGCCCGCAAAACAGCGCCAACUAACUUCUAAACAG